rnacentral:rRNA from 1 species
UACGUAGGGUGCAAGGCGUUAGUCCGGAAUUAUUGGGCGUAAAGAGCUCGUAGGCGGUUUGUCGCGUCUGCUGUGAAAACUCGGGGCUUAACUCCGGGCCUGCAGUGGGUACGGGCAGACUAGAGUGCGGUAGGGGAGACUGGAAUUCCUGGUGUAGCGGUGAAAUGCGCAGAUAUCAGGAGGAACACCGGUGGCGAAGGCGGGUCUCUGGGCAUUAACUGACGCUGAGGAGCGAAAGCAUGGGGAGCGAACAGG